UACGAAGGGUGCAAGCGUUACUCGGAAUUACUGGGCGUAAAGCGUGCGUAGGUGGUUCGUUAAGUCCGAUGUGAAAGCCCUGGGCUCAGCCUGGGAAUGGCAUUGGAUACUGGCGGGCUAGAGUGCGGUAGAGGAUGGCGGAAUUCCCGGUGUAGCAGUGAAAUGCGUAGAGAUCGGGAGGAACAUCCGUGGCGAAGGCGGCCAUCUGGACCAGCACUGACACUGAGGCACGAAAGCGUGGGGAGCAAACAGG
rnacentral:rRNA from 1 species